UGCAAUUGGAAUGAGUACAAUUUAAAUCCCUUAACGAGGAUCAAUUGGAGGGCAAGUCUGGUGCCAGCAGCCGCGGUAAUUCCAGCUCCAAUAGCGUAUAUUAAAGUUGUUGCAGUUAAAACGUCCGUAGUCAAAUUUUAGUCUUACCGGCGCGGUGGCCUGGUCUUCAUUGACCAAGCUCGCUGUCGCUGGAGACUCCACGUCCGCUUUCUUCUAGUCUUCGGGCUAGGAUUUUGUGGACAAUUACCAUGAGCAAAUCAGAGUGUUUAAAGCAGGCUUUUAAGCUUGAAUGUGUUAGCAUGGAAUAAUGAAAUAUGACUUUAGUCCUAUUUUCGUUGGUUUAGGUACUAUAGUAAUGAUUAAUAGAAACGGUUGGGGGCAUUUGUAUUUGGCCGCUAGAGGUGAAAUUCUUGGAUUGGCCGAAGACAAACUACUGCGAAAGCAUUUGACCCAGGACGUUUUCAUUGAUCAAGGUCUAAAGUUAAGGGAUCGAAGACGAUUAGACUCCGUCGUAGUCUUAACCACAAACUAUGCCGACUAGAGAUUGGGCGUGUUUCUUCUGACUCGCUCAGCCUCUUAGCGAAAGU
rnacentral:rRNA from 1 species